UGUUGUAGGCGGGGUGUCGCCGCGCUUGGAGCGGCUGGGGUUUGGCCAAGAGCUUGUCCCCCGCGGCCCGGCCCGCCCCGCCCCGGCACAGCCUUCCCAGGUGCCCCGGCAGCGGCUGCCCUCGGCCAGCGGGGGCCGCGGGCGGGCGGGCGUGCUGCGGUGGCGUGCCGGCGGCUGAGGCACGCGUGAGCCCCGGCGGCUCAGCCCGCCGUGGGGAGGGGGCUUGCCCAGAGGGGAGGGCCUGCCCUGCCCUGGCGAAGUUGUGCCGUGGAAAAAGUUGCGGCCGCUUUAGAGCCAGGCGGCGUGAGCAGGAGAGCGCGUUUGGGUACCUGGUAAAUCCGGCGGCUUCAGAGAAGAGCAGCCCAGUAGCCGAGUACUUCCUUCUGCCGAUAAGAUCUUCGCCUGCGCUCGUCACGGGUGGCGGCCGCCGCCGCUGCCCCACUUGAAUUGGUUUCAGACUCCUCCCGAGGCGAGACGGGGAGCGGGAGAGCGGCGAGGCGGGAGGAGGCGAUGCGCGGGGCCGCGCUGCUCCCCCCGGCCUCCUCCGCCCCGCGCAGCCCCGCUCCCUGCGCUGCUGGCAGAGCCGGCCGGGCGGCGGAGCCGCGGCUGGCACCGACAUGGGAACCUUAGGGAAAAGGAGAGAAAACCAGCAACCUGCCCAAGCAUGCAGCACUGCCCCUGAAUCAGCACUUGAGCUGAAGCAGAUCAGUCAUUGUCCCAGCAUCUCAAAUCUUACCCAGGUCACAAUGGUGCCGUUGGGGCACUUAGCCAAAGGGGCCACUUUGGAAGAUCUUCUUGAAAUCUGCAUUCAGUCUUUUGAUUUAGAAGGAAAUGCAUAUCAAAACAACCAGCUGCUAAAGAUAAUUCUGGCCAUGCAUCAGUUUAUCAUCUCCUCUGCAGACAUGCUCCAGAAACUCAUUGAUCUCUAUCUUAAUGCUUUAGAAAAUAAAUCUUCUAUGCUGUGUGUGAAGAUAUGCUAUUUUGUGAGGUAUUGGAUUACAGAGUUCUGGGUUAUGUUCAAAAUGGACUCUAAACUAUCCACAACUAUGGAAGAAUUUCAAGAACUGGUUAAAGCUAAUGGUGAGGAGUUACACUGUCAUCUAAUUGACACAACCCAAAUAAAUUCUAGGGAUUGGUCUAGAAAGCUGACACAGCGUGUGAAGGCCAACACCAGUAAGAAACGGAAAGUCUCGCUUCUUUUUGAUCACCUUGAACCAGAGGAGCUGUCAGACCACCUUACCUAUCUUGAAUUUAAGUCUUUCAGAAGAAUAUCAUUCUCAGAUUAUCAGAACUACAUUGUGAAUAGUUGUGUGAAGGAGAAUCCAACAAUGGAAAGAUCAAUUGCUCUUUGCAAUGGUAUCUCUCAGUGGGUGCAGCUAAUGGUUCUCAGCAGACCAACACCACAGCUUCGGGCUGAAGUGUUCAUCAAGUUCAUUCAUGUUGCACAGAAGCUCCACCAGCUGCAGAAUUUCAAUACGUUAAUGGCAGUGAUAGGAGGUCUUUGUCACAGUUCCAUUUCCAGACUCAAGGAAACAAGCUCAUGUGUUCCUCAUGAUGUAAUUAAGGUGUUUAAUGAAAUGACAGAACUGCUUUCAUCUUACAGAAAUUAUGAUAGUUACCGACGUGCCUAUAACGAGUGCAGUAACUUUAAGAUCCCAAUCCUUGGGGUCCACCUGAAAGACUUGAUAUCACUUUAUGAGGGCAUGCCAGACUACUUGGAGGACAAAAAAAUUAACAUAUACAAACUAUACUCUCUCUAUAACCAUAUAAAUGAGCUGAUACAACUCCAGGAAAUGCCACUUCCCCUGGAGGCUAAUAUGGACCUUGUUCAUUUGCUUACACUGUCCCUUGAUCUUUACUACACAGAAGAUGAAAUUUAUGAGCUUUCAUAUGCACGAGAGCCACGAAGUCACCGAGCUGCUCCUUUGACACCUUCCAGACCACCAGUAGUUGCAGACUGGGCCUCAGGAGUAGCCCCAAAACCCGAUCCAAAAACCAUCAGCAAACAUGUUCAGAGGAUGGUAGAUUCUGUCUUCAAAAAUUAUGACCAUGAUCAGGAUGGAUACAUUUCCCAGGAAGAAUUUGAAAAGAUAGCUGCCAGUUUUCCAUUCUCAUUUUGUGUAAUGGCUAAGGACUGGGAAGGUCUGAUUAGCAGGGAUGAAAUAACAGCUUACUUUAUGAGGGCUAGCUCAAUCUAUUCCAAAUUAGGACUUGGCUUUUCUCACAACUUCCAAGAGACCACUUAUUUAAGGCCUACUUUCUGCGACAACUGUGCUGGAUUUCUAUGGGGAGUCAUUAAACAAGGAUACAGAUGCAAAGACUGUGGAAUGAACUGUCACAAGCAAUGCAAAGACCUGGUUGUGAUAGAGUGCAAGCGAAGACCCAAAACUUCAGUUGCAGACAACAGCCCAACAUCGGCUCUUGCUUCAAGCCUCUGCCCAGUAGGAGUCAAAGAGCAAUUCCAUGGACAAGAAGAAGGACCGUUCACAUUUCCUAAUGGAGAAGUAGUGGAACACAAUGAAGACAGCAAGGACCGAACCAUUAUGCUCAUGGGUUCCUCAGCUCAGAAAAUCUCAGUGAGACUGAAACCAGCUGUGGUUCAUAAAGGUACACAGACUGAUCACAUACUGCUGGCUGGUGAUGUAUCUCGUAGGCAGACAGAGAAGAAAGAACAUAGGAUGCCAGAAAAUCCUUAUCUCCAGGCAGCUCCACCAUCCCCACGUCCAAGCCCCAUUCUAGGCCGCAAAAAGGCAUAUGUUAAAUGGGAAAACAAGGACUCCAGCCAGAAAAUGAAGGAGGAGCAUCACAGCUGUAAACCCUCAUACCAGGAACUUGAGCAGGAAAGAAAUAUUCUAAAGGCAGACAAUGAAGGUUUAAAGAUCCAACUGGAACAGGCACAUAAAACAAUUGAAUCUCUCACAAUCCAGAGAAGAAGCCAUGUAGUCGACAACCCACAACACAGAGACUGCUCCUAGCAGACAAGACAGGAAAUCUCCUAUGGAAGAAUGUAAGACUGAAGGAGGGGUUGUGAUAAAGCUGCUUUUACCACGUGAACUGGAAAGAGAGUCUGAAGGAUGUUAUACAGAAAUACUCUCUUUACUGAACCCAUUUCCAUAUUAAACAUACACUCCCAAAUAUACAAAUCCAUUCCUUUGACUUAAGGUAAUUUAGCAUUAUGUAUGCAAUGAAAAUAGUAUUUUCUGGGUUUGCUUUUAAAAGGAGUGACAUUGUUGCUGGAGUUUCUGCUCAUGACGAAGACCAUGCGGAUUCCCCAGUGACUUGGCUGCCAGCAGCACACCUUACUCUACAAGUGUUCUGACAAAGUAGCUAUUCAUAAGACUGUCACCUCAGAUUUGGCCCAAAUUCAGGUUUGUAGGAACAAUGUUUGAUAAAGCAGAGUAUUUAAUUAAAACUGUAGAAAUAUUCCAUUAAGAGAAACAAUUCUUUCUCAUUGUGGCUGAAACCAAUUAAAAUCAUGAAGUGAACUGUCAUCUUUAUUUCCAAAGUUUAACAAGAACAUCAAAAUAAGUAGUUAAGCUAAUGAUAUUUGAUUAUUUGAUUCUUAGACUUUGUUAAGAUAAACUGACAAUUUUUUUAAACCUCUUUCAGAGCUUUAGAAGUCCUGCUGCUCAAAUGCUUACCUCUGUUAAGGGAUCUGUUUGCAGGAAUAUCUUACAGAACAAGUAUGUGGUGCUUCAUGUAUGCUGAAAACUUCCUGCUUCAAAGAAGUCAGUUGAUACCCAGAGAAUUUCAGAGCUCUCAAACUACCUUCAGGUUCUGUUUGCCCAAAGCCCCUUAUACUCUUCUCUCUCUUCCCCCCCCAGCCCCAGUGGUAGUCCCUUCUUAUUUUUUUCAGGACUUCCUUUUUGCUGCAUGAAAGACUAAUAGCAGAAACUGACUACAGGGAUACUGCUAAAACUGACAAAGCUACUGAACAAAAAUCACUCACAUCUGUAUUAAUCUUCAAGCUGCUUUAUGCUAGGAAAAAAGAUACAAUUAAAGUACUAAGUGCUGUUCAAAAGUCAUGUUAGCAAACACUGAUACUGAAAUUUAUCUUGUCAUGGAUAAUUUAAAUGAAAAGCACUCACCUUUGUUCCUUCUCUAGGCUCAGCUGUGUUUCAUGUACAUACAGGAAGGAAUAAAAAACAAGUGCCCCCCCCAACUACUGUUUAUUUUUUAAGUGUGAAUUCUGAUCAUUUAAAGAUAGAAGUAAAUAGAUUGAGUAAUAUCACAAUUAACAAGGCAGGGCUAAUUCAGAUUAAACACAACAGCCUUUAAAGUAGCUUGUAUGUUUUUGGAAAUACAUUUUUGUUACAGUAGCAAUCUGUUAUUUUGUUGUAACUGAUCUCUAUGGCAACUUGAAAAAUUUUUGGUUUAAUGCUGUUUGAGAAGAUUGAAAAAGUAUACAGAUUGUAAAGAUUUUAUAUAAAUUGUAAGAUUUCUGUUUAAUAUUUAUAAUAGAAAAGAUAUUAAAAUUGCAUUUCAUGACUCUGAUUUUCUAUCUCAAAGAAAUCUAAACAACCUAUAUUCAUCUUCCUUGACUCUGUCACCCAAGAUGCUUCUGCAGGAUUAACCUAGUACCAGAGUCCCUAGUCUAGUUUGACCUUCUGUGAGCCCUGGAACAUUGCCUGAGAAAAUUUAGGAAGCUAGGUAUUUGCAGAUUAUUCUUUCAGUAUUUUAGUGGUUGACACAGUACAGACACGGUUUUGCUACUCAUAUUCCAAGUAUUAGAAAGAAAAAUUCUUCAUUAGCACAGUCUCUCACUUUUGUUAAGAAGGCUAAUUCUGAAAAGAUUUCACAGCAUGAUAACCAAGUUUAAAGGAGGCUUCUGUAGUGUCUGCUAAUGCUGGCUAUUACACAGACAGCAUUGUAGCACCCUGAAGACUUGCUAUUCUUUACCUUGUACUAAACCUCAAAAUACCUUAUCUCAAAUAUGUUUUUAUAUGGGGUAAUGAACAUUCAUUCAGUUAUCUUCAGUCAUCUGAGGGAGGAGAGGGAAGAAGACAAGGAAUGCAGACUACUGAAAACACAAUUCCUAUUUAUAUGGGCAAAUCUGCUCUACAGUCUUGCAUAUAUGAAACAAACUGUGUUUUACUUCAUAAUUAUAGAAAUUAAAACCCAAAAACUUCAGAAGUGGGGGAUGUUUCCUUACUUCACAUAAAGACAAAAGUAAUGAUCAUAUAG